rnacentral:rRNA from 1 species
CCUACGGGAGGCAGCAGUGGGGAAUAUUGGUCAAUGGGCGCAAGCCUGACCCAGCAACGCCGCGUGAAGGAAGAAGGCUUUCGGGUUGUAAACUUCUUUUCUGAGGGACGAAAAAAGUGACGGUACCUCAGGAAUAAGCCACGGCUAACUACGUGCCAGCAGCCGCGGUAAUACGUAGGUGGCAAGCGUUAUCCGGAUUUAUUGGUUGUAAAGGGCGUGUAGGCGGGAAAGCAAGUCAGAUGGGACAACUCAGGGCUCAACCCUGAGCCUGCAUUUGAAACUGUGUUACUUGGGUGCUGGAGUGCAGGAGAGGUAAGUGGAAUUCCUGGUGUAGCGGUGAAAUGCGUAGAUAUUAGGAGGAACACCAGUGGCGAAGGCGGCUUACUGGACUGUAACUGACGUUGAGGCUCGAAAGCGUGGGGAGCAAACAGGAUUAGAUACCCGAGUAGUC